GUCUUUGACAAUACAUAUACUAAAACUGGAAUUAUACAGAGAAGAUUAACAUGGCCAUGGUGCAAGGAUGACAUGCAAAUUCACUAAGUGUUCUAUAUUUUU
ensembl:snRNA U6 U6 spliceosomal RNA